AUGGAGGAGGCUGGGAGCGACGAUCGCAUCAGCGGCCUCUCCGACGACCUCCUGCGCGACAUCCUCCUCCGCCUCCGUUCGCUCCCCGCCGCCGCGCGGACCGGCAUCCUCUCCCGCCGCUGGCGCCACGUCUGGACCAGCAUCCCCGAGCUCGUCAUCGACGAGCUCCACGUGGCGGGCCGGCCGCCGAGCUCCUUCCUGCGCGCCGUGGAAGGCGCCCUCGCCGCCUACUCCGCCUCCAACGUCGACGUCGCCGCGCUCACCAUCGCCGUGCCCGACGUCAGGCUCUGCCGAAUCGAAGCUCGCCGCGUCUCCUCGUGGCUGCGCGUCGCCUCGGAGCGCGUCGCCGGCACGCUGUCCCUCGCCCUGCCCCGCUCAGAGCCCAUCACCAUCACCCACGGCCACGGACAGGAGGUCGAACUGCCCCCGUGCGGGAGGGCGACGGAGAUCGCGCUCUCCCUCGCGGGGGCGUUCGUGCUCCGGCUCCGGCCGGCGGCCUCGUUCGCGGCGCUCACCGUGCUGACGAUACAGUCGGCCGCCAUGGACGGGCGGGAGCUCGGGGCGUUCGUGUCGUCCAUGUGCCCGCGCCUGACGGACCUCACCCUGCGCGUUAGCCUCGUGGCCUGCUCGGACGUCUCCAUCCGCUCCGCCUCUCUCAGGCGCCUAGAGUUCGGGGCCGGGUGCGCCCAGCGGCUCGGGGUCGCCGCCCCCAUGCUCGAGGUGCUCGUCGCGUCUUUCCUCCACCACGCUCACAUCUCGGCCCCGAGGCUCGCCGAGGCCAAGGUCCAGCGCCUGCACCGGCACCACUUCGCCGACGACGUGCCUCGUCGUCUCCGGCGGCUGGACAUCACGCAGCUGUACCUAAACGCGGUGGCGCCCCCGAGGGCGCGGCGGUUCGAUGCGGUCGACGAGCUGAGAUUGUCUGCCCUCAUUGGAAUGGAGGGGUAUACUAGCUUCUUGGACGAUGUAAACAAUCUUCCCGAAGAUCCAUGCUCGACGGCUUGUCCAUGUCGCUUGCCGGAGAGUUACAGAGCCAACAAUAUGACCCUCGAUUCACUUGAAGAGAUAGAGAUCAAUACGUUCAUGGGAGAAGAUGACCAGGUGGAAUUCUUAGAGAUGCUAGUAUCCAGAUGCAGUGCAACAAGACCUAUAAAUGUGGUGCUCAACAAGUCGUACCUUGUUCCUUUACCAACCAAGAAAGUUUCAGAGAUGAUCCGCAGCAUUUCUCGUCCGAAUCUCAGAGUCAGAUUACAUUAA
rnacentral:rRNA from 1 species